CAGUCGCCGCGGUAAUACGUAGGGUGCGAGCGUUAUUCGGAAUUACUGGGCGUAAAGCGUGCGCAGGCGGUUGUGUAAGACAGACGUGAAAUCCCCGGGCUCAACCUGGGAACUGCGUUUGUGACUGCACGGCUAGAGUACGGCAGAGGGGGGUGGAAUUCCACGUGUAGCAGUGAAAUGCGUAGAGAUGUGGAGGAACACCGAUGGCGAAGGCAGCCCCCUGGGCCAGUACUGACGCUCAUGCACGAAAGCGUGGGGAGCAAACAGGAUUAGAUACCCCUGUAGUCCCUGUCUCUUAUAC
rnacentral:rRNA from 1 species